CCUACGGGAGGCAGCAGUGGGGAAUUUUGGACAAUGGGCGAAAGCCUGAUCCAGCCAUGCCGCGUGAGUGAAGAAGGCCUUCGGGUUGUAAAGCUCUUUCGGCCGGAACGAAAUCGCACCCGUGAAUAUCGGGUGUGGAUGACGGUACCGGAAGAAGAAGGACCGGCUAACUACGUGCCAGCAGCCGCGGUAAUACGUAGGGUCCGAGCGUUAAUCGGAAUUACUGGGCGUAAAGCGUGCGCAGGCGGUUUUGUAAGCCAGUCGUGAAAUCCCCGGGCUUAACCUGGGAAUGGCGAUUGGGACUGCAAGGCUCGAGUGCGGCAGAGGGGGGUGGAAUUCCACGUGUAGCAGUGAAAUGCGUAGAUAUGUGGAGGAACAUCAAUGGCGAAGGCAGCCCCCUGGGUCGACACUGACGCUCAUGCACGAAAGCGUGGGGAGCAAACAGGAUUAGAUACCCUGGUAGUCCACGCCCUAAACUAUGUCAACUAGUUGUUGGAGGAUGAACUCCUUUAGUAACGCANCUACGCGUGAGUAGACGCCGNGGGAGGUACGGUCGCGAGAAUUAAACUUAAAUAGUAAGUUAGUACGGCGUGAGACGUCGCCGACGGACGACGACGAGGGAGGUUAGG
rnacentral:rRNA from 1 species